rnacentral:tRNA from 30 species
CGGGAAUAGCUCAGUUGGUAGAGCACGACCUUGCCAAGGUCGGGGUCGCGAGUUCGAGUCUCGUUUCCCG